rnacentral:ncRNA from 1 species
CCACGCUUGACGGGGCGCCGUUGAUGACGGCUGAGACCAUGCGCUUGCCAGCAUGGAUCCCGUUGAACCUGAACUGGCUAGGACCAGCGUAGGGAUCAAGCGACACGCCGCC